CCUAUGGGAGGCAGCAGUGAGGAAUAUUGGUCAAUGGGCGGAAGCCUGAACCAGCCAAGUCGCGUGAGGGACUAAGGCCCUACGGGUCGUAAACCUCUUUUGCCGGGGAUCAGUGCCCAGCUCGCGAGCUGUGUGGGAUCGUACCCGUAGAAAAAGCAUCGGCUACCUCCUUGCCAGCAGCCGCGGUAAUACGGAGGAUGCGAGGGUUAUCCGGAUUUAUUGGGUUUAAGGGGUGCGUAGGCGGGCCUUCAGGCCGGCGGUAAAAUUGCGGGGCUCAACCCCGCCGAGCCGUCGGAACCGGGGGCCUUGAGUACAGGAGAAGUAGGCGGAAUGCGUGGUGUAGCGGUGAAAUGCAUAGAUAUCACGCAGAACCCCGAUUGCGAAGGCAGCGUACCGGCCGGUGACUGACGCUGAGGCACGAAAGCGUGGGUAGCAAACAGGAUUAGAUACCCUUGUAGUC
rnacentral:rRNA from 1 species